UAAAUGGACUGUGACUAUACCAUGAAAUUCCGAACCUCAGUUUCAUUUUCAUGACUCCCUGAGAGUGGAAGAUGCUGGCAGGACAACCAGGUCAUAGCUACAUUGCAGCCAUGUCAAUAUUUAAGUGCACCUGAUCUUUGAAUGCAGCAGAAGAUGCUGGGAUCUCAACUUUUCUACCUGA